AGAGUUUGAUCAUGGCUCAGAGUGAACGCUGGCGGCGUGCCUAACACAUGCAAGUCGCACGAGAACGCUUCAGCUUGCUGAAGCAAGUAAAGUGGCGCACGGGUGAGUAACGCGUGGGUAAUCUACCUUCGAAUCGGGGAUAACUCCGCGAAAGCGGGGCUAAUACCGGAUGAUCUUUCAGAGGCUACGGCUUUUGAAAUUAAAGGGGGCCUCUACAUGUAAGCUCCUGUUUGAAGAUGAGCCCGCGUACCAUUAGCUUGUUGGUGGGGUAACGGCCUACCAAGGCUACGAUGGUUAGCUGGUCUGAGAGGAUGAUCAGCCACACUGGCACUGACACACGGGCCAGACUCCUACGGGAGGCAGCAGUGAGGAAUUUUGCGCAAUGGGGGAAACCCUGACGCAGCAACGCCGCGUGAGUGAUGAAAGGCUUUUCGGGGUCGUAAAACUCUGUCAAAGUGGGAAGACUUGUAAAAUGUCAAAUAUCAUUUUGCACUGACGGUACCCACUGAAGGAAGCACCGGCUAACUCCGUGCCAGCAGCCGCGGUAAUACGGAGGGUGCAAGCGUUACUCGGAAUUACUGGGCGUAAAGGGCGCGUAGGCGGUUCGAUUAGUCAGAUGUGAAAGCCCGGGGCUUAACCCUGGAAGUGCAUUUGAAACUGUCGAACUUGAGUAUGGGAGAGGGAAGUGGAAUUCCUGGUGUAGAGGUGAAAUUCGUAGAUAUCAGGAGGAACAUCGGUGGCGAAGGCGACUUCCUGGACCAAUACUGAGCUGAUGCGCGAAGGCGUGGGUAGCAAACAGGAUUAGAUACCCUAGUAGUCC
rnacentral:rRNA from 1 species